rnacentral:lncRNA from 1 species
AUAUUUCUUGUUUGUGUGUCCUCCAGGAGACAUUUUCAGUUCCUUUCCUUUUGUCAGUUUAAUAAGAAGUGACAUGAUAAAAACUGGUGGUGAUCAAAAGGCUACAGUAUAUCAGUUUGGCAAGAGAUGGGAUUUUAUGGUAUAUAGUUGUACUUGGCUAUUCAUCAUGUGAUGCUUUCAGUAGAAUUCCCCCUCUCCACCCCACCAAAGAGCAGAAAGAACAGUCUCAAAUAAAACUCCUGACUCAAAUUAAAGCCUCCAGUCUCUCUCCUUUUGUGGUAUGGGUAUGCAGCAAUGCCUGAAAACCUGGAAAAUAUCCCAUCAAGAGAUAAUGCACCAGCGCCAAGAACAAACUGAAGAGUUAGUUAUGUGUUUGAGUUAUAUUGCUGACCAUGCAGGAAGUUUAAGUCCAGCAGCCUUCCCUCACAAGAUCAGGGUGACAGUCCCCCCAGGGCAUAGUGAUUUCAAAGUACAGUUUGGCUCUGUCCUUUCACUAGGAAGGUGAUUCUCUCAUUAAGUUAUUGCUUGUCUAGAUGGGCCCAAGGUUCAAACACAAGGGGUGGUAUUUUUCCUAUUUGUUCGUAGUUUAGCCUGGUAUUUUUGGGUUGGCUGUGGGUUAGUCUCUGCUCAGCCAGCAGCUGUAAUGGCAAGUUCAAAGAGUCCCUAAACCAAAAGAAAACAUUAGUUUGUUAAUUCAUUCUUGUGUUACCAGGAAUUUCCAUUAAUUUGACUUGGAAAAUAUGCCUAAUUCCACUGAAACGUUCUCCAGUCAGUUUCUGAUAUAAAGGAUCAGAUGGUGGCCAUCGUGGACUGUGACUUUGGGUCACAAGCCAAUGACUAGAAGUUUGGGGUGGGGGUAACUGAAAUAUCAGAUGAGGUGAUUAGAGGAAAUAGACUUCAUGCUUGGCAGGAUCUUCAUCUUUAAGGUUUUGUUGACGAUAGAAUUUGUUCAGUUUAUACACCUGCUGGAGUAGUGCUUUAUUGGAAUUUGGAUCAGUCGCUGAGGAUAAUUUAAACAGCUGGGUAAUAGAGAGAAUAAUAAAAAGAAAGAAAAGCAAAAUCA